UACGUAGGUGGCAAGCGUUGUCCGGAUUUACUGGGCGUAAAGAGCGCGCAGGCGGUCGUUCAAGUCGCGUGUGAAAGCCCCCGGCUCAACUGGGGAGGGUCACGCGAUACUGAUCGACUCGAAGGCAGGAGAGGGUAGUGGAAUUCCCGGUGUAGUGGUGAAAUGCGUAGAUAUCGGGAGGAACACCAGUGGCGAAGGCGGUCUGCUGGGGUAAUGCUGACACUGAUGCGCGACAGCGUGGGGAGCAAACAGG
rnacentral:rRNA from 1 species